UCGGAGAGUUUGAUCCUGGCUCAGGACGAACGCUGGCGGCGUGCCUAAUACAUGCAAGUCGAGCGGACUGAUGGGAGCUUGCUCCCUGAUGUCAGCGGCGGACGGGUGAGUAACACGUGGGUAACCUGCCUGUAAGACUGGGAUAACUCCGGGAAACCGGGGCUAAUACCGGAUAGUUCUUUUCCUCGCAUGAGGAGAAGUGGAAAGGUGGCUUUUAGCUACCACUUACAGAUGGACCCGCGGCGCAUUAGCUAGUUGGUGAGGUAACGGCUCACCAAGGCAACGAUGCGUAGCCGACCUGAGAGGGUGAUCGGCCACACUGGGACUGAGACACGGCCCAGACUCCUACGGGAGGCAGCAGUAGGGAAUCUUCCGCAAUGGACGAAAGUCUGACGGAGCAACGCCGCGUGAGUGAUGAAGGUUUUCGGAUCGUAAAGCUCUGUUGUUAGGGAAGAACAAGUGCCGUUCAAAUAGGGCGGCACCUUGACGGUACCUAACCAGAAAGCCACGGCUAACUACGUGCCAGCAGCCGCGGUAAUACGUAGGUGGCAAGCGUUGUCCGGAAUUAUUGGGCGUAAAGCGCGCGCAAGCGGUCUCUUAAGUCUGAUGUGAA
rnacentral:rRNA from 1 species